GCCGGUGUAGCUCAGUUGGUAGAGCGGUUCAUUCGUAAUGAAAAGGUCGGGGGUUCGAUUCCCUUCUCCGGCA
rnacentral:tRNA from 1 species